rnacentral:lncRNA from 1 species
AAACUCAAAACGUAUAUCAUUAAGUUCUUUUCUGGAGUUCCUUAAUCUCAAGACAAGAUUCACUGCACAUGGAACUUCACUAUAUUCAUCACUAACAGCAGGCUGAGACUCUGUGUUCUCCUCUUCUUUCACUCUUCGUGACUUCUCCUGAGAAACAGCAGCUUUGCCUUCUUCACUCUUUUCAUCCAUUUCAUCAUCACUCCAUUCCCAGUCUCCAUCUUCUGUU